AUGGACCUUUGCUUCGACUCGUUCACAGCAGAAGCAAUUGCAGUGAGGUUUGGUUUGAAUCUUGCUAAUACCGUCGGAUGUAGUAAGAUUGAAGUGAAUUCGGAUAGCGUGGAGGUGGUGAAUGCGUUGAGCCAAGGCUACUCUUCUUCAGUCACUUCAUCCAUUAUAGACUGUUAUUUCAUGUCAUUAGGUUUUUCCCAUGUCAUUUAUGAUCAUUGUAAUAGGGAAUGUAAUCGAGUAGCUCAUGAACUAGCAAGGUUAGCUAGGUUUUCUUCUCCGAGUGUUUGGAUGGAUAACGCCCCUAAUGAGGUUAUCCCUUUACUUAUAAACGAUGCUACUUUACUUAUGAAUGAAUAA
rnacentral:rRNA from 1 species